CCGAGCCCCAGCCAUGUCCGAGU
rnacentral:miRNA from 1 species